rnacentral:rRNA from 1 species
GAUGAACGCUGGCGGCGUGCCUAAUACAUGCAAGUCGAACGAGGUGCCUUUGUAGCAAUACGAAGGUAUCCUAGUGGCGAACGGGUGAGUAACGCGUUGGCGACCUACCCCAAAGUGUGGGAUAACAGAUCGAAAGAUCUGCUAAUACCGCAUGUGGUCUUCGGAUUUAGAAACUGAUGACUAAAGGAGCAAUUCGCUUUGGGAGGGACCUGCGUCCCAUCAGCUAGUUGGUGAGGUAAUGGCUCACCAAGGCUACGACGGGUAGGGGACCUGAGAGGGUGGCCCCCCACAAUGGAACUGAAACACGGUCCAUACACCUACGGGUGGCAGCAGUAGGGAAUAUUGCACAAUGGGCGAAAGCCUGAUGCAGCAACGCCGCGUGUGCGAUGAAGGCCUUCGGGUCGUAAAGCACUUUUCUGAGGGAUGAGCAAGGACAGUACCUCAGGAAUAAGUCUCGGCUAACUACGUGCCAGC